GGGGCAGUAAUUGGUUUCGACCUGAAUUACUUACUAAGAUGGCAAGUAGUAGGCAUACUAUAAAUGCACAACUUAAAUUUAAAUGACGAAAAUAAUUCGUUCUCUUCUUUUGGAGCUUUCGCUCCUGUAGCUGCCUAAUUUAAGGUCAUAAGAAGGCUUUUAUUCACUUUCUCUUAUAGGGUGUUUAAAGGUUCAUAUAUAUAAGAUAUAUAAGUUUGUUUAUUCUUAGGUAAACUUACGAAUUUAGAUUAAGAAUCGUAUAAAAUUUUGGUGUGUUGGAUCCAUGUUUUAUAUUAAAUUAAUUCCAACUAAACUUGUAGAUAUUUUAGCAAAGGGUUUAUGGGACAGGAGUUCAACUCUCCUCUGCUCCACCA
rnacentral:tmRNA from 1 species